rnacentral:lncRNA from 1 species
UUCACAGCCACACCAUCAACAAAGCCUCCCACCUGAUCAAGCUUAACUCGUUGCCCGUGAUGCAAUGACAAAGCCAUUGCAUUUGCAUCAGCGGGCUCCACUCCAAUGAUCCGAACCUAUGUAUCAUGUGAAACCCUCUUCACAUAGGCCGCGAUACCAGCUAUCAAGCCACCACCACCCACGGGUACGAAAAUGGCAUGGAUUUGGCCUUUAGAUUGGCGCAUGAUCUCCAUUCCUAUCGUUCCUUGACCAGAGAUUACAUCUGGAUGAUCGGAAGAAGGAAUGAAGGUGCGAUUCUCUCUUACGCCCCUAUUCUUGGCGUAAGCUUGU